rnacentral:rRNA from 1 species
GGUUAAGCGACUAAGCGUACACGGUGGAUGCCCUGGCAGUCAGAGGCGAUGAAGGACGUGCUAAUCUGCGAUAAGCGUCGGUGAGGUGAUAUGAACCGUUAUAACCGGCGAUUUCCGAAUGGGGAAACCCAGUGUGAUUCGUCACACUAUCAUUAACUGAAUCCAUAGGUUAAUGAGGCGAACCGGGGGAACUGAAACAUCUAAGUACCCCGAGGAAAAGAAAUCAACUGAGAUUCCCCCAGUAGCGGCG